UACGUAGGGGGCGAGCGUUAUCCGGAUUUAUUGGGCGUAAAGGGUGCGUAGGCGGCCUUACAAGUCUGAGUUGAAAGCCCACGGCUUAACCGUGGAGGGUGCUCGGAAACUGUAAGGCUUGAAUCCAGAAGAGGCAAGUAGAAUUCUAUGUGGAGCGGUGGAAUGCGUAGAUAUAUGGAGGAAUACCAGUGGCGAAGGCGGCUUGCUGGUCUGGGAUUGACGCUGAGGCACGAAAGCGUGGGGAGCAAACAGG
rnacentral:rRNA from 1 species